AGCGAACGCUGGCGGCAGGCUUAACACAUGCGAGUCGAGCGCCCCGCAAGGGGAGCGGCAGACGGGAGAGUAACACGUGGGAACGUACCUUUCAGUACGGAACAACCAAGGGAAACUUUGGCUAAUACCGUAUACGCCCGUAAGGGGAAAGAUUUAUCGCUGAAGAUCGGCCCGCGUCUGAUUAGCUAGUUGGUGGGGUAAUGGCCCACCAAGGCGACGAUCAGUAGCUGGUCUGAGAGGAUGAUCAGCCUCACUGGGACUGAGACACGGCCCAGACUCCUACGGGAGGCAGCAGUGGGGAAUAUUGGACAAUGGGGGAAACCCUGAUCCAGCCAUGCCGCGUGAGUGAUGAAGGCCUUAGGGUUGUAAAGCUCUUUCGUCAGGGAAGAUAAUGACGGUACCUGAAGAAGAAGCCCCGGCUAACUUCGUGCCAGCAGCCGCGGUAAAAC
rnacentral:rRNA from 1 species